rnacentral:rRNA from 1 species
AGUUUGAUCCUGGCUCAGGACGAACGCUGGCGGCGUGCUUAACACAUGCAAGUCAAGGGGGCCCAGCAAUGGGCAACCGGCGAACGGGUGCGUAACACGUGAGCAACCUACCGAACUGUGGGGGAUAGCCGGCCUAACGGCCGAGUAAUACCGCAUACGCACUCAGAGAGGCAUUUCAUUGAGAGGAAACCUACGGGACAGAUCGAGGGGCUCGCGGCCUAUCAGCUAGUUGGCGAGGUAACGGCUCACCAAGGCAACGACGGGUAGCUGGUCUGAGAGGAUGGCCAGCCACAUUGGGACUGAGAUACGGCCCAGACUCCUACGGGAGGCAGCAGUGGGGAAUCUUGCGCAAUGGCCUAACGGCUGACGCAGCGACGCCGCGUGUGGGAUGAAGCUCCUCGGAGUGUAAACCACUGUUGCCCGGGACGAACAGCUCGAUUAGUCGAGCCUGACGGUACCGGGUGAGGAAGCACCGGCUAACUCCGUGCCAGCAGCCGCGGUAAUACGGGGGGUGCGAGCGUUGUCCGGAAUCACUGGGCGUAAAGGGCGCGUAGGUGGUUUGAUAAGGGUGUGGUGAAAGUCCGGGGCUCAACCCCGGAUCUGCCGUGCCGACUGUCAAACUCGAGGACUGUAGAGGCAGACGGAAUUCCGGGUGUAGCGGUGGAAUGCGUAGAGAUCCGGAGGAAGACCGGUGGCGA